UACGUAGGGUGCGAGCGUUGUCCGGAAUUAUUGGGCGUAAAGGGCUCGUAGGCGGUUUGUCACGUCGGGAGUGAAAACUCGGGGCUCAACCCCGAGCCUGCUUCUGAUACGGGCAGACUAGAGGUAUGCAGGGGAGAAUGGAAUUCCUGGUGUAGCGGUGAAAUGCGCAGAUAUCAGGAGGAACACCGGUGGCGAAGGCGGUGGCCUGGACCUAUGCUGACGCUGAGGCGCGAAAGCGUGGGGAGCGAUCCGG
rnacentral:rRNA from 1 species